UGUGAAGGUGUGUCGUGAGGCAUGCUGGAGGUAUCAGAAGUGCGAAUGCUGACAUAAGUAACGAUAAAGCGGGUGAAAAGCCCGCUCGCCGGAAGACCAAGGGUUCCUGUCCAACGUUAAUCGGGGCAGGGUGAGUCGACCCCUAAGGCGAGGCCGAAAGGCGUAGUCGAUGGGAAACGGGUUAAUAUUCCCGUACUUGGUGUUACUGCGAAGGGGGGACGGAGAAGGCUAUGUUGGCCGGGCGACGGUUGUCCCGGUUUAAGCGUGUAGGUGUGUGUUCCAGGUAAAUCCGGUUCACUUUAACACUGAGGCGUGACGACGAGGCACUACGGUGCUGAAGCAACAAAUGCCCUGCUUCCAGGAAAAGCCUCUAAGCAUCAGGUAACAUCAAAUCGUACCCCAAACCGACACAGGUGGUCAGGUAGAGAAUACCAAGGCGCUUGAGAGAACUCGGGUGAAGGAACUAGGCAAAAUGGUGCCGUAACUUCGGGAGAAGGCACGCUGACAC
rnacentral:rRNA from 1 species